CAGUCGCCGCGGGAAUACGUAGGGUGCAAGCGUUAAUCGGAAUUACUGGGCGUAAAGCGUGCGCAGGCGGUUAUAUAAGACAGAUGUGAAAUCCCCGGGCUCAACCUGGGAACUGCAUUUGUGACUGUAUAGCUAGAGUACGGCAGAGGGGGAUGGAAUUCCGCGUGUAGCAGUGAAAUGCGUAGAUAUGCGGAGGAACACCGAUGGCGAAGGUAAUCCCCUGGGCCUGUACUGACGCUCAUGCACGAAAGCGUGGGGAGCAAACAGGAUUAGAUACCCCAGUAGUCCCUGUCUCUUAUAC
rnacentral:rRNA from 1 species